rnacentral:rRNA from 1 species
GAUGAACGCUAGCUACAGGCUUAACACAUGCAAGUCGAGGGGCAGCAUGAACUUAGCUUGCUAAGUUUGAUGGCGACCGGCGCACGGGUGAGUAACACGUAUCCAACCUUCCGUUUACUCAGGGAUAGCCUUUCGAAAGAAAGAUUAAUACCUGAUAGUAUGGUGAGAUUGCAUGAUAACACCAUUAAAGAUUUAUUGGUAAACGAUGGGGAUGCGUUCCAUUAGGUAGUAGGCGGGGUAACGGCCCACCUAGCCUGCGAUGGAUAGGGGUUCUGAGAGGAAGGUCCCCCCACAUUGGAACUGAGACACGGUCCAAACUCCUACGGGAGGCAGCAGUGAGGAAUAUUGGUCAAUGGGCGAGAGCCUGAACCAGCCAAGUAGCGUGAAGGAUGAAGGUCCUACGGAUUGUAAACUUCUUUAUACGGGAAUAAAGUUUCCUACGUGUAGGAUUUUGUAUGUACCGUAUGAAUAAGCAUCGGCUAACUCCGUG